UGGGGAAUAUUGGACAAUGGGCGAAAGCCUGAUCCAGCCAUGCCGCGUGUGUGAAGAAGGUCUUCGGAUUGUAAAGCACUUUAAGUUGGGAGGAAGGGCAGUAAGCGAAUACCUUGCUGUUUUGACGUUACCGACAGAAUAAGCACCGGCUAACUCUGUGCCAGCAGCAGCGGUAAUACAGAGGGUGCAAGCGUUAAUCGGAAUUACUGGGCGUAAAGCGCGCGUAGGUGGUUCGUUAAGUUGAAUGUGAAAGCCCCGGGCUCAACCUGGGUACUGCAUCCAAAGCUGGCGGGCUAGAGUAGGGCAGAGGGUGGUGGAAUUUCCUUUGUAGCGGUGAAAUGCGUAGAUAUAGGAAGGAACACCAGUGGCGAAGGCGACCGCCUGGGCUCAUACUGACACUGAGGUGCGAAAGCGGGGGGAGCAAACAGU
rnacentral:rRNA from 1 species